rnacentral:rRNA from 1 species
CCCUUAGAGUUUGAUCCUGGCUCAGGGUGAACGCUAGCGGCGUGCCUAAGGCAUGCAAGUCGAACGAGUGUAGCAAUACACUAGUGGCAGACGGGUGAGUAGCGCGUAGGAAUCUACCCUAAAGUGUGGAAUAACCAGCCGAAAGGUUGGCUAAUACCGCAUGUGAUCGCAAGAUUAAAGCUCGUAACUGGGCGCUUUAGGAGGAGCCUGCGUCCCAUCAGCUUGUUGGUAAGGUAAAAGCUUACCAAGGCUAUGACGGGUAGCUGGUCUGAGAGGAUGGUCAGCCACAAUGGCACUGAGACACGGGCCAUACACCUACGGGUGGCAGCAACUAGGAAUAUUCGGCAAUGGGCGAAAGCCUGACCGAGCGACGCCGCGUGAAGGAUGAAGGCCUUCGGGUUGUAAACUUCUUUUGCCAAACAGUCGAUGUUUGGAGAAUAAGCCGCUGCUAACUACGUGCCAGCAGCCGCGGUGAUACGUAGGCGGCAAGCGUUACCCGGAUUUAUUGGGCGUAAAGCGUGCGCAGGCGGUUUGGAAAGUCAUCAUUGAAAUCUUGGGGCUCAACCCCAAGCCUGGUGGUGAUACUUUCAGACUAGAUUACUUGAGGGGGUACCGGAACAGUUGGUGGAGCAGUGAAAUGCGUUGAUAUCAAUUGGAACACCAAAGGCGAAGGCAGGUACCUGGCAAGUCAAUGACGCUGUUGCACGAAAGCGUGGGGAGCAAAACGGAUUAGAUACCCGUGUAGUCCACGCCGUAAACUAUGGACACUAGAUAUCAGGCUGGUUGACGGCUUGGUGUCGUAAGCUAACGCGUUAAGUGUCCCGCCUGGGGAGUACGGCCGCAAGGCUAAAACUCAAAGGAAUUGACGGGGACCCGCACAAGUAGGGGAACGUGUGGUUUAAUUCGAGACAAAACGAAAAACCUCACCAGGGUUUGAAAUGUAUGUUUUAGGACUCCGAAAGGAGAACAAACCGCAAGGUAGCAUACACAGGUGCUGCAUGGCUGUCGUCAGCUCGUGUCGUGAGAUGUCGUCUUAAGUGACUCAACGAGCGUAACCCUCAUCAUUAGUUGUAUCACUCUAAUGAAACUGCCGCGUACAACGCGGAGGAAGGCGAGGAUGACGUCAAGUCAUCAUAGCCCUUAUGUCCUGGGCUACACACACGUUACAAUGCAUAGGAACAACGGGCUGCUAACUCGCGAGAGUAUGCUAAUCCCUAAAAACUAUGCUCAGUUCAGAUUGCAGUCUGAAAUUCGACUGCAUGAAGAUGGACUUACUAGUAAUCGCAGAUCAGCAUGCUGCGGUGAAUACGUUCUCGGGUCUUGUACACACCGCCCGUCAAGUAGGGAAAGUUGGGGGCACCCGAAGGACCUUUAUGGUACGAAGGUGAACUCAGCGAUCAAUGCUAAGUCGUAACAAGGUAACCAAGGG